UGGGGAAUAUUGCACAAUGGGGAGACCCUGAUGCAGCGACGCCGCGUGAGUGAAGAAGUAAUUCGUUAUGUAAAGCUCUAUCAGCAGGGAAGAAAAUGACGGUACCUGACUAAGAAGCCCCGGCUAACUACGUGCCAGCAGCCGCGGUAAUACGUAGGGGGCAAGCGUUAUCCGGAAUUACUGGGUGUAAAGGGUGCGUAGGUGGUCUGGCAAGUCAGAAGUGAAAACCCGGGGCUCAACUCCGGGCCUGCUUUUGAAACUGUCGGACUAGAGUGCAGGAGAGGUAAGCGGAAUUCCUAGUGUAGCGGUGAAAUGCGUAGAUAUUAGGAGGAACGCCAGUGGCGAAGGCGGCCUGCUGGACUGUAACUGACGUUGAGGCUCGAAAGCGUGGGGAGCAAACAGGAUUAGAUACC
rnacentral:rRNA from 1 species